GGAGAGGUGGCAGAGUGGUCGACUGUACCGCACUCGAAAUGCGGCGUGCCUGUGCGGGCACCGUGGGUUCGAAUCCCACCCUCUACGCCA
rnacentral:tRNA from 1 species